AGCUGCUGUAACUACUUUAAAAAAUCUGAACAUUUCAUGAAGUCUUCAUUCAUAUAAUUUGUUGUAUCCAGAUGGCUGUUAUUAUUGGAGAAAACCCUCCCAUUAUUGUGCCAAAAUUGGCCAUUGAUAUUGAACCUGCAUAAUCCCCAAAUGAGGUUAUCAAAAGCAGAAUUAAAUGGUGGCUAAUUUUGCAAUUGUGUCCCUUAUCAGAGGAUGGAUUAAUCUCAUCAUUUACAUAUUCUACAGUGAUGCCCACAAUUGCCUGAACAGAAUUUUAUAUCAAUGACUAGCUUGGUGACCAUCGAGUUUAAUUUCAUUGGUCAUUUCAAUUCACCCGGUGGGGAUUUGGGUUAGAAUAGGUCCUCAGUACCCCUUGCUUGUCGUAAGAGGGCAGUCCUUUAAACGAGACCACAAAAACCGCAGGUGUGGUACAAAUAAAGACCCCUCCCUGCUCAAAGUCCAAAAGCGCCGCACAUAAGGCUAUACUUUGCAAUCCUUCACUGAAAAUGCAGUGACGUCUCCAUAGGAGUGAAAAAUUCUCAAAAGGGACGUUAAAUAAUAUACAACUAACCAUUUCAAACUGAAAUGUCCUUGAACUAAAGGUUCCAUCCCCUUGAUCUUAUCUUUGUUAAUUUCAGCAUGUUAAUUACAGCUGUUGUAAUGACACAUGUUGUAUUCUGUUGAUUCUAUCAUCUUUAGGCAAGAAAACCUCAAUAUUGCUAUUGGAACCUGAGCAUUUUUCUAUCAAAUCCUCACGUUUUUUAUGCACAGGAAGCAGAACAUGUGGAGGUGGUCGGGUGGCAGUCUAGGUGGUGGUGGUGGGGGGGGGGGUCGUUUUCACAUUUAAUUACUCUUCCUGUACAUUAGUAAACAGCUGUAACAAUUGAAAGCACACAUGAAUAUACAAUCAUCCAGAUUGUUUUUGUUUUGAUAAUGUUUUGUUUAACUUUUCUUCUUGAGGAUUAGAAAAGGUGGAUUAAAACCACACUAUCAACAGAUUAUUCCCAUAGUACAGCAUGAAAGCUUUGCAUAACAUAAGAGGAUUAAAUAUCCUCACAUCCUUAUAGGCACAGGAAAAACUUGAAAUAAUGAGAUACUUUAACAAGCAGGCAGUGUCAUCCCAAAGGAUUACACCCAGUAUCAAACAAAAAAACUUUAGGAAUAUAAAAUCCUCACAUUUGUAUAGAAUAAAAAUCUUUCGGACUUCAGAUCAGUUUGAAAACUUUGUAUCAAAAUAGUUCUACACAUCCAUUACUAGAUAUAAUAUAAAUUUGACAGUCAUAAACUUCUGCAAUGUUGGAAGGUCAAAAGCUGAUCUACAUGAAAGAGUGCCUUAAUUGAUGUGGAUGAUUCAGACUUUAAACUUUCAAAAAAAAAAUGCACUACUGGUAUUUUAUUAUGCAGAUGUGCGUUCAACUUCCAUUUUAUCACUUUCUAAGAAUGCUUACAUAUGAAGAUCUAUAUGCAGCACAGAAUAUCUUGAGCAGUAGCAUUUUUCAUUAAUUCAAAAGUUUGGUUAAGUUCGCAUUACAGUCAAAAUACUGUAUGUUCUACAAUUUUCCACUAAGAGCCAUAUUGCAGCACACAGGCACAACCCCCACCCUGCACCCAAGAAAUUUCAGAAAGUAUACACAAACAAUUCCUUGUUACACUCUGCAGUAAAAAAAAAAACAGAUGCGUACAAACAUAGCCUUUCAUUAUCAUAUAAUCAAUAUAGAAGAAUAUAAUUUAAUAAGCUAAUAAGCAUUCAUAUAAGAUUUAGUUAUUGUAUCUGCGCUUUAUGAGAAAACAUUGACAAAUGUUUUGAUAGUCAAGUUUCUCUUUAGGUAAAAGAAAUUGAUUUUUCUGUAUGAAAACUUGAAAUGUGAGCUUUAACUCGUUAGAAAACACAUAAAAAACCGUCUUCUUUUUCUGAUUGUCCACAGAUGUUACAUUAUGGAGAUUGCAGAGCAACAAUUUGACUCCAGAGCGUGUGAAAAUAACCGUUGAUUAUAUUGAAAGGAACUGCUGUUUUCUUCCUCGGUUUGUUAGUUGCUUUUUUUUUUAUCUAUUUAUUUAUAUGUUGUUUUGUUUUGUUUUUUUCUUUUUUUUCUCUUUCCGUUAUACCUUUGUAAACUUGAGUGGCUUUAAGUUUCAUUUGGAAACAUUUAGCCAAAAAAAAAAACAAAACAACCCAGCAGUUUCUUCAAGAAAUUCUGACACAAUAUCACUGAAUAUAAAAAGUAAAAAUAACUACCUGUUGUAACCACUGAAGCGUAGCAAGAUCAACGACAGUGCUCAUGGCCCACGAAAAAUAUCAACAAACGCCCCUUAAUUAAAUUAAAAACUUGAAAAAAGCCACUUAAAUCCAGCACAACUGCAGUCCAAACGAAUACCAACUGGUGUCUUCCUGUAUGAAGCAGGUCUCAAGAGUCCAAAAUUGGCACCAAAGUAACAAGAAAGCCUGGAAGAUGGAAGAUUUCCUUACAGAAAUUUUUUGACCACUUACCAAGCCUGGGGUGACGGAGGAGAGGGGAACCAGUUGAUAAGAAUCCAGAAGCAUCAUGUCCAUGAUGAGUAGAAACAGACACUGAAUCAGAUGGCGACGUCCCCAUUACCAGUGAAGGGCUGCAAAAUUCAAGCCUAUGCUCAGCGUUUGCGGCCUUUGAUCAGGGAGGGAUCUUUAUCAUGUCACACCUGCGGUGACACGGGACCUUGGUUUUUUGCAGUCUCAUCCAAAGGACCACCCCAUUUAGUCGCUUCUUACUGCAAGCAAGGGGUACUGAGGACCUAUUCUAACCUGGAUCCCUAUGGGAUGAUAUUGUUGGUGUUCUUCCUGACACUAAUGUAGCCGUUCUACGAGAGGAGAAUUUUUCACUCGACAUAUAGAGACGUCACCAAGAUCGGUGAAGGGCUUCAAAUUUAGGCCUUAAUUACUCGGCACUUACGGCCAAUGAGGGUUCUUAAGCGUACGUGCCACACCUACUGUGACAUUGGACAUUCGUUUUUAAGGUCAUCUCCGAGGUUCCAAGGACCCGUGACACUCACAACGGAUGCCGAGCGUUUGGUAAUGGAACUGUCACUACCUGUUUUAACGACUUAGGUCUGUCGUGGCCGGGAUUCGAAACCCGUCCUUCCACAUUAUUUAAAGGAGAGAGGAGAAAUCUUUGGCUGAACCGGGAAUUGAACCUGGGACCCCUGCAUUACUAGUCAGGUGCUCUAACCACUGAGCUAUCCUGUCCAAUAUCCACGGUCCGUAGAGCCCUAAUUACUACAUUCCUCCCUCCUUAAUCAGUCUUUGCCCUCAAAGAUACAUACAACCCAGGUUCUUUGCGCCCCUGGCAGGACAAAAUGUGCAGGGGUGGUCAACAGCACCAAAUGUAGUAUAUAUAUAAGAGAGAGGAGAAAAUCUUUAACUGGACUGGGAAUCGAACAUGAAAGAAAUGCAGCGUCUGCUUUCAUUUCCGCAGAGUCUCAUCUUCUUCCAACUGUAUUCAGUUGCAGACUUGCUAUUGAUGCCUGAUUUUAAAAUGUUUUCACAUUCUUUCAAACAAUGUGUGCGUUCCAUUGACAUUAUUAAGAAUUUUAUGUGCAUGGCAAUGGUUUCAUUUAACAAAUCAAUUAACAUACAUUGCCAGUCAAACUAUAUUCAGUUGCGUAUGAGGGUGGUAGUGAAGCGGUAAAUCCACAGGACGGGCCUGAUGCCAAGGAGUAGCUCGCCACGCGAGUCGACUCAAUAAUACAUGAAUAUGUAACAUAAUUACCCGGUAAUAUCUACGAUAAAUUGAUAUAUUCUUUGAAACUGCAUGUACAUUAAAAGUUUGUCAUUUUAACUAGUUUUCACGUACUUUCAUUAAAAUGGGCAAUUUUCUGAUGUUUAUACUUCUGUUUGAGCUUAUCAUGAGGUCCAGUAUGGUGGACCUAUAUAAACUAAGAAACAAUGGCAUAUAUACAUAUUGCAGAAUUUGAACCAAUGACCU